rnacentral:rRNA from 1 species
UACGGAGGGAGCUAGCGUUGUUCGGAAUUACUGGGCGUAAAGCGCACGUAGGCGGCUUUGUAGGUUAGAGGUGAAAGCCCGGGGCUCAACUCCGGAACUGCCUUUAAGACUGCAUCGCUUGAAUCCAGGAGAGGUGAGUGGAAUUCCGAGUGUAGAGGUGAAAUUCGUAGAUAUUCGGAAGAACACCAGUGGCGAAGGCGGCUCACUGGACUGGUAUUGACGCUGAGGUGCGAAAGCGUGGGGAGCAAACAGG